AUGCAGGGUCAGAAAGCUCUCAGAUUUCAUCAAAACAUAUAUUAAUUUGUGUUCCAGAGAUGAACGAAGGUAUUAUGGUUCGAAAACAACAUGAGGGAUGCAUUUGGUUAAGAAUAAAGACGUCUUGCUGCUUCACUUUAAAAAGUAAUCAUGUUCUCAGAGUGGGGUCACUUCUUCUCCAAAACUGCAGGUGCUGCCGUCUGAGCCCAGCAACCCUUAUCUGACCCACCACUGCAGUGAAAAGUUAAUUCCAGCCUUUUCGCACGCAAUCCAUCCUCUCUUGCCAAAUUCUCAUCUCCCCUGAGUGCUAUUAAAGUCUCCCAUCUGCACCUACAUUUUAAAGUGUUUUCAAGUUACCAGCCAAGGUUUGCGCGGUUGUCAACAUUUGACCCGUCCUAGUGAGCUCAUGUUCCAGCCCAAGAGUAAUGCGGAUCUCAUUCUGUAGGGGCAAGACAAAAGAUAAAGUGGAAUUGAAGCCAUGACCAUUUUAGAUGAAAUCCCAAUCAAACUGUUUUGCUGUAGGGAGAGAAGGAUUUUGUUGGAUUUAAACACCACAACUGCUCAUGCCCUACAAGUCUGACUUUAUGUAGAUUAAAUAUUGAUAGAAUGUCUUGCCCUUCA